rnacentral:rRNA from 1 species
UACGUAGGGUGCGAGCGUUGUCCGGAAUUAUUGGGCGUAAAGAGCUUGUAGGCGGCUUGUCGCGUCUGCUGUGAAAAUCCGAGGCUCAACCUCGGACUUGCAGUGGGUACGGGCAGGCUAGAGUGUGGUAGGGGAGACUGGAAUUCCUGGUGUAGCGGUGAAAUGCGCAGAUAUCAGGAGGAACACCGAUGGCGAAGGCAGGUCUCUGGGCCACUACUGACGCUGAGAAGCGAAAGCAUGGGGAGCGAACAGG